GCACGGUUAAAAUACGCGGAGACGGAC
rnacentral:sRNA from 1 species